rnacentral:lncRNA from 1 species
GCUCGGCCAUGACGCGGCAUGCGACAAAUUUUACAACCGUCUUCCACAUCCUCUCUCUUCUAUAAAUACAUCCCUAGCCGUCAGAAAGCUCCUCGUCUCACCCCAGAUCCAUGAAGGGCAGCGGUUACCAGGUACGCAGGACCCUCUCCUUCUCCCUCUCUUCCUCGUAGACCCCUAAGCUCGCGGUAGCGACGACCUGCGCGCGCAGAUUAGGCCACCAGCAUGCGCGGCACCUCCGUCAUGCUCCUCAUCGCGACGCGUUACCUUCCUAGAGCCGAGCGCGUGUGAAUCCUGGCCGGAACCCCCGCUCGACUUCUUGACCAGGACGCGAAAACACCUCCAGGCAAACGACCGCGUCGCGGCAAGGCAAGGCGAUGCCCCUGCGCGUGCUAUAGCUUGGCCGGCCAGGAGGCCAUGGCGCGCGGCAGCCGGCGCGGCGGCCUGACGGCCAGCCAGCGCGGCACGCGGCCAGCCCGGCGUUCCUGCAAGCAGCACAGCACCCUGUGACCCGCCCUGACGCGGCCAUGGCUAGAGGCCAGUUCUCCUCUUCAGCGGCCGAGCUCGCUCCUGCCCAAGUGUUUUUCGGGUGCGGCAACCAUGCGCGCGGCCAGCCGCCGCGAGAUCCACCCUGGCCAGCGAGCCACCAUCGCUCGGAGUCUCUGCGCUCCGCGUUUCGCGUAGAAGAAACCACCGUGUGCGUUUUCAGCCAAGGAAGAAAGUAGAAAUGACGUGGGGUCCACUCUACAUGGCCGCAUGCACGCAAAUCCCACCACCGUACACACAUCGUGCAACAACCGCAUGCAUGAGCCCCUUGCAUGUGAUGCAAACGACACCUCCGUAUGUGCUUGCAAAUUGCCUGGCCCCACCCACAUGCAUCCACGAGAUCCUAGAAACCAGCCCUCACAAUGGAUCCCACAUCUUCUAUGACCGUUUUUCAUGUGGUCCAUCGUAUGGUUAGCCUUCCACCAAUAGAAUCGUGCCACGUAGUCUAAAUUCAAGAAACACUAGUUAUUCAAUAUAUAUGUUGCGCUGCGAGUCCGUCUCGACUCGUUUCAGUCGUAGCAACUUCGUAAUAACCUCAACUACAUGUUAGUAAUAUUAUUUGGUCGUAACGCAUGUUUUCGUUAAUUAGGUAGUUAAACUGAGGUUUAUUUGAACUUAAAAUUAAGGUAUAGUUUUAAAUGGUGAUUUUAUAGAUGCAAAUUAAUGUGGUUAAUGCCGACUCAGAUGUUUUCAACUAAUAUUUGUUUAAUGUAAAUGUAACGUCUGUUUAGCUUUUCUCGCGUAUCGCGCGUGUCGUUCGCGCGUGUCGUGCGUGCUGUUUCACACGUGUUGUCCGCACGUAUCGCGUGUGAGGAUCGUGCGUGUUCGCACGUCGUCGCGCAUUGUUCGCGCACUAUCGCUUUGCUCGCACGUUGCCGCGCGAGUGUUCGCGUGUCAUUCGCGCGCUGUUUGCGCGUCGUUGUCACUUCCUUCGCGCGUUCGUGUCGCACGUCUAGUUCGUGUGUCGCGCGGCGUCUGCGCGUAAUAAAUUGUUGUCACUUGUAAACGCUCAUGUUAAUAACGUUAAUUCGUCAGGUCACAUAUUUUGGAUAAUUAACUUAAAGUCUGCUCGACUAAUAUGUAUUAGAUUAAUAUUCUAAUUAGAUUAAAUAUGUAGUGUUCAACUCGUGCUUGUAGAAUAAACAUUAACAUGGAUAAUAUUAACUUAACUACUUAUUAAAUAAUUAUUUAGUAUAAACGCGUCACGUAUUUAGUCUUUCUCGCCUGUUGCACGAGUUGUUCCGCACGUGGUGUCGUGCUGAUUCGCGCGUCGUUCGCGCUGGUCGCACACACUGUUUCGUGUGUCGUCAGUGUGCUAUGGCGCACGUGUCCGCGUGUCGUUCGCACGCUGCCGUGAUGUUUCGCUCAUCGUAAAUUCGCCUCGCUUAGAAUCUCUCGUUUUAAUUAAAUUAUUGGUUUAAUUGAUAGCUGCUAGUGUAGCAGGUUAAGCGAAACUAAAUAUUAGAUAUAACUUAUAUUGGGUAAUAUCGAAUUAAAUGUUAUAAUUGAUAUUGAUUUAGCGUAAACACGAUAUCUUCCCGACCGUAGCUUCGAGUUCGAUAAUUCUUUUUUCCUCGCGUGACCGUAGUAACGCACUCUAUUUCGUUUUGCAUAUUUUAUUAUGUUCUUAUUUUAAUGGUGUAAUGUUCUUAUGCAUAUAUAUAUAUGUUUGUUUGUACCUGUUUGUAUUCGUUGUGCGUCGCGAAUAGAUUGCGAUCCGUUUCUGAGCUUUGAGGGAUCAAAGAUCAAGAGUUGGCGACCAAGUGAUCUGGUUCUUCGAGUUCUACGAGAUUCAAGACCCUGAGCAUCUGUUUGGUGAAGACAAGUGUCCUCUGACCCAUUAUGUCUCAUUUACUUUAUAAUACACUGUCCCGCAUACUAUGAACAACCUAAGGAUUUACUAGCUUUCUAUUUACCUUGUCCUUGAUUUACCUUUUGGGUUAGUAUGGUUAGCUACAUGCUAGCGCUUUACUUUAAUCAAUGAACAUGAUGAGAUACAAUGAUGAUACUAUGAUUUUAUUCUGGAUAUGAUGAUAUACUUGUGGCAUUUAAGGGGACUAAGGCUGUUUCCCGAGUACCUCUCCGUAAGGACCUGUUCGUUGAGAGACCACCUGGGAUAACAGUGCAAUCAUGAGGGUGAAAUGGGAUGCCCUUAGCUAAUUAAUUAGAGGAACUAGAGGUGUAGUUGCUUCGCCGUCGUGCCGUCAAUGGGGUCCAGGCACAGUGCUUGCUCUACCGAGGCUGAGUGCCGAGGUUCUUUCGUUUUGCUUUUGUUAGUCACCCUCCUGCGGGGAGAGGUACUGUGUUUAUCAAACUGGAGAAACCUAACGGGCGGCUAUGACCUCUAGUGAAUCUUUGUAAAAGCUACGUAGUGAUACCCUGCCGGACCACCUAGGAAGUGAUCAAUGGGGAGUCAUGAUCCCCGGGCAAAACGGGAAUCACGGCUCAUGGGUAAAGUGUGCGACCUCUGCAGAGGAUUAGAAACUGAUAUAUCAGUCGUGCUCACGGUUAUGAGCGGCCUUGGGAUCCUCUUUGAUUAGAGAUACAUAUGAUCGAGAUACAAUGGUUCUAUUUAUGGUUUUGGUCCGAUGAUGAUAAUGAUGCUUCCUCGAUGAGGAAAUGGUUCACGGGUUGGUUAUGUGAUAAAACUUGGCUUCCACUAAUAAUAAACACCUGGCCAACUAAAAGCAACUGCUUGAGCUUAACUCCACAUAAAGCUAGUCCACCUCAGCCAAACAGGACAUUUGCUGAGUACGUUGAUGUGUACUCACCCUUGCUUUCACAAAACACCAGGAUGCCUUUGGUGCAAUCUAUGCACAGGUAAAGAAGAAGGCGUCGAGGCGGUUCUCCAGGAGUUCCAGGACUUCGACGAGUUCGAGGAUUAGGCUAGCGACCUCCCCCAGUCAGCUGCCUGUGGUGGGUUUAUUUACAUUGGCUACGUUUCGAUUCUGUGUACUUUGAUUCAUAUUAUGUAAAUGACUCUAGUCUUUAAUAUCAUUAUUUAUUCUUUAUUGUUAUUCGAAGCAUUGUGCUAUGAUGAGUCAUUUAUGUAAUCGCUGUGUACGUGAAUUUCUGAUCCUGGCACGUACAUGGUUCGCAUUCGGUUUACCUUCCAAAACCGGGUGUGACAUAAGUGGUAUCAAAGCCAGGCUGACUAUAGGAC